CCCAGGCGGCGACGCAGCCCCAGUCGGGCGGACGGGCGAGGGCGAGCGCCGGGCUCAGCGCCGCUCCAGCUCCGGCACCGCGCUCCUGCCCACCGCGCGGCCCGCGGCGGGCGGAGUCCGCGAGAGUUUGCCCCGGAGCUCGGGGAAGUUUCCCGCCGAAGCUCCGCUCCCGUGAAAGCAGUCCCUGCCGGCACCCUCAGCUCCCCUAGCCGCUCGUCAGGUUGCUUCACGGAACGAGCACUUAAGAGGAAAAGAAAGGAUCGAAACUCUGGAAAACCAAACUAUGUGGUCUUCAGAAAUGAGAGAUGCAGCCAUCUGAAAUGGUCAUGAACCCCAAACAAGUCUUCCUCUCAGUGCUGAUAUUCGGAGUAGCAGGGCUACUCCUCUUCAUGUAUUUGCAAGUCUGGAUUGAAGAACAACACACAGGACUUAUAAAAGAAAUGCUUAGAAGUGCUUGCAAUUGUCUCACAAACAUAUCGAG